ACUCCUACGGGAGGCAGCAGUGGGGAAUAUUGCACAAUGGGGGAAACCCUGAUGCAGCCAUGCCGCGUGUGUGAAGAAGGCCUUGGGUUGUAAAGCACUUUCAGUAGGGAGGAAGGUAGUGUAGUUAACACCUGCAUUAUUUGUACGUUACCUACAGAAGAAGCACCGGCUAACUCCGUGCCAGCAGCCGCGGUAAUACGGAGGGUGCGAGCGUUAAUCGGAAUUACUGGGCGUAAAGCGCAUGCAGGCGGCUUGUUAAGUCAGAUGUGAAAGCCCGGGGUCUUAACCUCGGAAUUGCAUUUGAAACUGGCAGGCUAGAGUCUUGUAGAGGGGUUAGAAUUUCAGGUGUAGCGGUGAAAUGCGUAGAGAUCUGAAGGAAUACCGAGUGGCGAAGGCGGCCCCCGUGGAC
rnacentral:rRNA from 1 species